rnacentral:piRNA from 1 species
GGGGCCAAAGAAACCUUGAAGAAUGAAGGU